GCGCCCAUAGCUCAGCUGGACAGAGCAACGGCCUUCUAAGCCGUGGGUCGGAGGUUCGAGUCCUCCUGGGCGCGCCA
rnacentral:tRNA from 2 species